ACACUGAUGGUGAAACGGUAUCAUGCUUGCCUUCCAUGUCUUACCGUUGCACCCAUAGCAAGCGGCGCGGGUUCGACUCCCGCUCAGUGUA
rnacentral:tRNA from 1 species